UGCUCGGUCGAGUCUUCCAGAGACCUCUGCCCUCGAUCUCACGCUCGCAUCUGCGCCGCCACCACCACCGCGUCCGGUCUUCGCGCCUUCCCGCCAGCGCUAGCUUCUCCGCCUCCCCCCCCCCCCCAACCACCACCUCCCCGUUGCCGCUGCAGAGGAGGGCGCUCGGCCAGGACGUUGGGCCACCUGCCUCAGCGCCGCCAUGGUCCCCCGACUGCAGCCGCGCCACCACCCUCCGCCUCCUCCGCGUGAUGGCGACACUGCGGCCCAUGCACGGUGUCCCCCUUCACUUCCAUCGCCUCCCCACGACCCACGCGUCUUACCUCUUGUGCCGCCGCCGCCUCCAUCUUCGAGCGGCCUCAAGCCCGGGUGGCCCAGCGAUGGCACUCCACCCUUACAGGGCAGCCUCACUAAUUGGGCUUUUAUUUUGUUUUAUCCUUGCAGAGCUAUUGUGAGUCAACUGAUUUCAGGAUAUCUGUCAUUCUUCACUUGCUUUCCUCUUAUAUGCCCUCAAUAAUGAAGCUUUUUUGGACUAUGCAGGGAUUUGUUUCUGUUAAUGGGAUUGAGAGAAGUGCUUGCAGUAAGAUGCUUCGGUUUACAAUAUGGACUGUGUUCUUUGUGAAUCUUCUCACAGGCUCAGUCUUAGGUCAAGUCGAGAUUUUUCCUUAAUCCAAAAGGAAAUACCUUCAAGACUUGCAGUUAUUGUACCAGCACAGGCUUCUUUCUCUAUUGCAUAUGUGGUGACGUCAUGGACAAGCAUAACAUCCGAACUCACUCAAACUGCUGCCCUUUUCUGUCAUUUGUGGGGAAAGUGUGCAAAAAUGUUGCAAGAGGGAUGACUCCAAAGCUCCAUCAAUGCCUUAUCAUUGCAAAAUUCUGCGGAUUCUCUUGUUUGGACUUCUUGGACUCACAUAUUUUAUUGUAGCCCCCCUGAUCCUCCCGUUUGGAUUGGUUUACAUCUGCCUUGCCUACUUUAUAUUUCAUAAUCAGUUGAAAAGACAGUGAUAUCUAGACUUCCCUGCUGCUGCCGGGCCGCCUUCCUCAAGUUCCUCAGCGAGAAUGGCCUGAACCCAGCUGUGUACUCCAUGGCAGCCAUCAUCCCACGCUACAUAAGCCCAAGGUUAAAACCAGGAAUGGAGUCCCGAUGUGAUUGUUUUGUGCACUGACGGAUGUUGUGAGAUACAAAGGACAUGAAGUCUCUUUGGUUAGGAGCACUUACAUUCGUGAUGUUGUAUAUCUACAAAUGGUGUUACUUGACUCGAGAAGGCAUAAGACAUUGCCUAGCAGGUGGGGAAGAUAGGAUUCAAUUUAACCGUGACUGACGACUAGCCUAUCCAUUUUUUUACAUCAAGAGUUUACAUUCCUUUAAUCGGUAAUAUGUUGUAAAAUCUCCCAUACAUCUCAUUAUAUUUGUUCUUUAGUACAUUGCACAAUGAAUUUGAAUUAUACUCAACAACGGGUCAUACUGCGGCGCGCCAACGGGGCACUACUAUCUAGUAUCAUACUAACAUUCAGUGGAAGCAGAUGCAGCCGUAUGGCAGGCUAGUGCAGCAAAGGUAGGCGCUAGGCAUGAUGAUUGCCUGAUUGGUGACCACAUCAAACCAGCAAUCUUUUCACACGCCGGCAGGGAGAAUUUCCAUCACAAACAAUCUCAUAUAUCAGUCUUAUUUGUUGUAUUUUGUGAGAAAUAAGCGACACACUUCUAUCUUUAUUUAAAUAAAUAAAUCCAAAUAUAACAGCUAUUUGAAUACAAUAAUUUCCAUAUGUAGAAAAUACAUACAUGAACGAGAACAUUUCAUAGGCUUUAAUCAAAAUAAUUAAGCUACUCAUGUUCAAAGCAUUAUUAAACACGGCAAUUAAGCAACAUAGGUAGAAAAACAUUAACAACAUGAUUAUGUCAUAAAAA